CAAACAUUGUAUGAAUAUGCCACAACAGCAAUUGCAUAAGAUAUGGCAGUAGUCUGAGCUUCCUGCAGUUGGGGCUAAGAGGGUCUGUGCACUUUUGUAUUACGUAGGACUGGGUAGUCGUAACGAGUUGGUCGCCCGUACCAGUGGGGAUUGUGAUUGUGUUGUCUAGUGUUAUUGGUAGAUUUCACCAAUGUUGGUAUGGCACUGGUACAGGAUUAACGCUGGUAAGCCUCCUGGUCCUUUGUGGUCGUGUGGUGUGUAUAGAGUUGGAUAUUAGAAUAAGGACUUGGGGUUUGAGUGUCAGCUAUGUGUGGAUGGUUCGGAUUUCAGAGUAUGGGUAACCGUGCUGUCGUGGGGCUGAGCUCGUUGAGACUGUGGAGGGAGACUAUGUGUUUUGAGUAGGUUAUAUCACUCUAGUGAGUAUGUGCUCCAUCGAUUGCUAUGCCCCUUGACCCCGAGGCAUUAGGGGAGGGGUCAGUGUGUUGCUUUACCACCUUUAGGCUACAGGGUUAUGAAACC